rnacentral:rRNA from 1 species
CCAGAAGUAGUUAGUCUAGACCUGUCGGGAGGACGAUUACCACGGUGUGAUUCAUGACUGGGGUGAAGUCGUAACAAGGUAACCA